GACGAACGCUGGCGGCGCGCUUAACACAUGCAAGUCGAACGGAAAGGCCCUGCUUUUGUGGGGUGCUCGAGUGGCGAACGGGUGAGUAACACGUGAGUAACCUGCCCUUGACUUUGGGAUAACUUCAGGAAACUGGGGCUAAUACCAGAUAGGAGCUCCUGCUGCAUGGUGGGGGUUGGAAAGUUUCGGCGGUUGGGGAUGGACUCGCGGCUUAUCAGCUUGUUGGUGGGGUAGUGGCUUACCAAGGCUUUGACGGGUAGCCGGCCUGAGAGGGUGACCGGCCACAUUGGGACUGAGAUACGGCCCAGACUCCUACGGGAGGCAGCAGUGGGGAAUAUUGCACAAUGGGCGGAAGCCUGAUGCAGCAACGCCGCGUGCGGGAUGACGGCCUUCGGGUUGUAAACCGCUUUCGCCUGUGACGAAGCGUGAGUGACGGUAAUGGGUAAAGAAGCACCGGCUAACUACGUG
rnacentral:rRNA from 1 species